UCUUUCCCAAACAUCCAUUUCGCAACAUCCCUUUCAAUGCAAAACGUGGCCUGUUGCUUUUCGAUCCGACAUAACAAACAUUUGAGUAUCCAAUUUACUUUGAGACAAAAUUCGGAAUCACAUGACCAAGCGAUUGUUAACAUUCUUUUGGGAUAUUUAGAAAAAAUUAUUUGUAAAUGUUAUUUUUGAGCAUUUGUAGAUAAAUGCUUUAUUGAAUGUGUUGAAUUAGUAUACUUUUGCAAUUUUGCGGAUAUGCAAAAUUUCCAGUUUUGCAAUUAAUUUCGAAUUAACAUAUCGAGGUAAAACGUAAAUCAUUCAAAAGUAAUUAAUUUCAUCCAAUUUAACGGGAUAACAAUUCCAUGAUAAAAUGAAUUUAAUAGCAUUUCCAUUCUUUCCAAUACUGUUCAUAAGAGCUCAUCAAGACAAUAUGUUCAGCUGCCUCUUUUUUCCAGCGUGGACUCUCCUAGCAAUCUUCCCACCCGGCUUUCUUAUCAACUCGGACUUCGAUUGGUGUGCGGUACGACGCAAGCGUCACUCGACCUCGGUUGGUCUCUCGUCGUCUCUGGGCCCCUCGGCAGUCGCUCAUCAGCGUCCAGGCCAACUGGUUCUCGCAUCUCUUUAACUGGCUUUCUCCUCGCCUCGCCCGUGUCGAACAGUAUUCUUCAGUGCACCAUGGCAUCCGUGUGUAUCAUCGGCUCCGGCAACUGGGGCUCGGCUAUUGCGAAGAUAGUCGGCGCCAACGCCAAGAAGCAAAAUGUUUUCGCCGACCGUGUCACCAUGUACGUUUACGAAGAGAUUAUCGACGGCAAGAAGUUAACAGAGAUUAUCAACGAGACUCACGAGAACAUCAAGUAUCUUCCAGGCCAUAAAAUUCCCGAGAACGUGGUUGCGAUACCUGACGUGGUGGAAGCGGCGAAGAACGCUGACAUACUCAUCUUUGUAGUGCCGCAUCAGUUCAUCCAGAGGAUAUGCGGUACGUUGCAGGGAAAGAUCAAACCCACCGCUGUUGGGCUCUCGCUGAUCAAGGGCUUCGACAAAAAAGAGGGUGGCGGUAUCGAGCUUAUAUCUCACAUAAUCUCGAGACAACUGCAAAUCCCAGUAUCGGUCCUGAUGGGCGCAAAUCUGGCUUCCGAGGUGGCUGACGAGAUGUUUUGCGAGACUACCAUUGGAUGCAAGGACAAGGCAAUGGCGCCGGUGCUCCGCGACUUGAUUCAGACCUCAUACUUCAGGGUGGUAGUCGUCGACGACGUGGACUCCGUAGAGUGCUGCGGGGCGCUAAAGAACAUAGUUGCCUGUGGCGCUGGAUUUAUUGACGGCUUGGACCUGGGUGACAACACGAAGGCCGCAGUGAUCAGGCUGGGUCUCAUGGAGAUGAUCAAGUUUGUCGAAGUGUUCUUCCCAGGCGGAAAACUGUCGACCUUCUUUGAAAGUUGCGGAGUGGCCGAUCUGAUCACGACGUGCUACGGUGGACGCAACAGGAAGGUUUCAGAAGCCUUCGUCAGGACUGGCAAGUCGAUCGCGACGCUGGAGAAUGAAAUGCUGAAAGGCCAGAAGCUGCAGGGCCCGUUCACCGCCGAGGAGGUGAACUACAUGCUGAAGUUGAAGAACAUGGAACACAGGUUCCCGCUGUUCACGGCAAUUCACCGGAUUUGCGUCGGUGAGCUAAAACCGACGGAUUUAAUCGACUGCAUACGUAGCCAUCCCGAACACAUAAAUCUUAGCUCUUCUGUCCCUCGUUUCCCUGGAGUCUGAAAAAGAACAAUCCACGAUUCACGAUCAACCAGGCCCCGUUUCAUCCCCUCCUGAGACUGAAACACUUGGACAAGCUUCAGCAGUGAAAACGUGAAUCGCGAAUUGAAACAGCGGAAGAAAGUAACGUGCACGCGGAUCCGGACGUCGCUUCUGAAGGGACGGAGACGCCCUGCCGUUGUCGAUGACGCUGAAGUCUCCCAAGUGUCGCCUCUGAAGACGCCCGGCGUCGAUCAUCGACCGAGGACUUGUUGCCGGAGAGAGUCAACGCCGUAGAUCGCUCAAACGCGUGAUGUUAGUUAAGUGAUUCAGUUGGCUUAUCAAGACACAGUUAUCAGUUAUCGCAGUGAAACGUUACUUAUUAAGCGGGAGUGCCACCGAGGCCGGUGGCAUGAUUCCGAUAUUGUCUUGUCAAUUAUGUCCUUUGUGUAUCCAGAACAAUGUUAUUUCAUCCGAGAAGCUCUCUUACUUCUUCGUUUGGAAGCGCUCGAGGAACUCUUUGUGAAAUAAUGAACGAACGAAAUAGCAAUGAGCGAGUUGCAGAAAGUUCUGUAAGAUGUAUCAAUGCGUGAAGAUUCGAUAUAACUGUGAUAUUUUAUAGAUCGUCCAAAGUAUUAAAUGAUUCAUGUCAUUGUUCC